GACGAACGCUGGCGGCGUGCUUAACACAUGCAAGUCGAACGGAAAGGCCCUGCUUUUGUGGGGUGCUCGAGUGGCGAACGGGUGAGUAACACGUGAGUAACCUGCCCUUGACUUUGGGAUAACUUCAGGAAACUGGGGCUAAUACCGGAUAGGAGCUCCUGCUGCAUGGUGGGGGUUGGAAAGUUUCGGCGGUUGGGGAUGGACUCGCGGCUUAUCAGCUUGUUGGUGGGGUAGUGGCUUACCAAGGCUUUGACGGGUAGCCGGCCUGAGAGGGUGACCGGCCACAUUGGGACUGAGAUACGGCCCAGACUCCUACGGGAGGCAGCAGUGGGGAAUAUUGCACAAUGGGCGGAAGCCUGAUGCAGCAACGCCGCGUGCGGGAUGACGGCCUUCGGGUUGUAAACCGCUUUCGUCUGUGACGAAGCGUGAGUGACGGUAAUGGGUAAAGAAGCACCGGCUAACUACGUGCCAGCAGCCGCGGUGAUACGUAGGGUGCGAGCGUUGUCCGGAUUUAUUGGGCGUAAAGGGUUCGUAGGUGGUUGAUCGCGUCGGAAGUGUAAUCUUGGGGCUUAACCCUGAGCGUGCUUUCGAUACGGGUUGACUUGAGGAAGGUAGGGGAGAAUGGAAUUCCUGGUGGAGCGGUGGAAUGCGCAGAUAUCAGGAGGAACACCAGUGGCGAAGGCGGUUCUCUGGGCCUUUCCUGACGCUGAGGAGCGAAAGCGUGGGGAGCGAACAGGCUUAGAUACCCUGGUAGUCCACGCUGUAAACGGUGGGUACUAGGUGUGGGGUCCAUUCCACGGGUUCCGUGCCGUAGCUAACGCUUUAAGUACCCCGCCUGGGGAGUACGGCCGCAAGGCUAAAACUCAAAGGAAUUGACGGGGCCCCGCACAAGCGGCGGAGCAUGCGGAUUAAUUCGAUGCAACGCGUAGAACCUUACCUGGGUUUGACAUGGAUCGGGAGUGCUCAGAGAUGGGUGUGCCUCUUUUGGGGUCGGUUCACAGGUGGUGCAUGGCUGUCGUCAGCUCGUGUCGUGAGAUGUUGGGUUAAGUCCCGCAACGAGCGCAACCCUUGUUCACUGUUGCCAGCACGUUAUGGUGGGGACUCAGUGGAGACCGCCGGGGUCAACUCGGAGGAAGGUGGGGAUGACGUCAAGUCAUCAUGCCCCUUAUGUCCAGGGCUUCACGCAUGCUACAAUGGCUGGUACAGAGAGUGGCGAGCCUGUGAGGGUGAGCGAAUCUCGGAAAGCCGGUCUCAGUUCGGAUUGGGGUCUGCAACUCGACCUCAUGAAGUCGGAGUCGCUAGUAAUCGCAGAUCAGCAACGCUGCGGUGAAUAAGUUCCCGGGGCU
rnacentral:rRNA from 1 species